UCCAAAGGUGCUGAGAUUACAGGUGU
rnacentral:piRNA from 1 species